AGAGUUUGAUCCUGGCUCAGAACGAACGCUGGCGGCAGGCCUAACACAUGCAAGUCGAGCGCGCCUUCGGGUGAGCGGCGGACGGGUUAGUAACGCGUGGGAACGUGCCCUUCUCUACGGAAUAGCCUCUGGAAACGGAGAGUAAUACCGUAUACGCCCUUUGGGGGAAAGAUUUAUCGGAGAAGGAUCGGCCCGCGUUAGAUUAGGUAGUUGGUGGGGUAACGGCCUACCAAGCCUACGAUCUAUAGCUGGUUUUAGAGGAUGAUCAGCAACACUGGGACUGAGACACGGCCCAGACUCCUACGGGAGGCAGCAGUGGGGAAUCUUAGACAAUGGGGGCAACCCUGAUCUAGCCAUGCCGCGUGAGUGAUGAAGGCCUUAGGGUCGUAAAGCUCUUUCGCCUGUGAUGAUAAUGACAGUAGCAGGUAAAGAAACCCCGGCUAACUCCGUGCCAGCAGCCGCGGUAAUACGGAGGGGGUUAGCGUUGUUCGGAAUUACUGGGCGUAAAGCGCGCGUAGGCGGAUUAGAAAGUUGGGGGUGAAAUCCCGAGGCUCAACCUCGGAACUGCCUCCAAAACUGCUAGUCUAGAGUUCGAGAGAGGUGAGUGGAAUUCCGAGUGUAGAGGUGAAAUUCGUAGAUAUUCGGAGGAACACCAGUGGCGAAGGCGGCUCACUGGCUCGAUACUGACGCUGAGGUGCGAAAGUGUGGGGAGCAAACAGGAUUAGAUACCCUGGUAGUCCACACCGUAAACGAUGAAUGCCAGUCGUCGGAUAGUAUACUAUUCGGUGACACACCUAACGGAUUAAGCAUUCCGCCUGGGGAGUACGGUCGCA
rnacentral:rRNA from 1 species